rfam:Triticum aestivum genome assembly, contig: Triticum_aestivum_CS42_TGACv1_scaffold_226361_3B
CACUUACUCCCUCCGUUCGAAAAUACUUGUUAUCAAAAUGGAUAAAAAGGGGUGUAUCUAGAACUAAAAUACGUCUUUUAUUUAUUUUGAUGACAAGUAUUUCCGGACGGAGGGAGUACAAA